AUUGAACGCUGGCGGCAGGCUUAACACAUGCAAGUCGAGCGAGCGGCGGACGGGUGAGUAAUGUCUGGGAAACUGCCUGAUGGAGGGGGAUAACUACUGGAAACGGUAGCUAAUACCGCAUACCCUCAGAUGUGCCCAGAUGGGAUUUGCUAGUAGGUGGGGUAAUGGCUCACCUAGGCGACGAUCCCUAGCUGGUAUGAGAGGAUGACCAGCCAACCUGGAACUGAGACACGGUCCAGACUCCUACGGGAGGCAGCAGUGGGGAAUAUUGACCAAUGGGCGCAAGCCUGAUGCAGCCAUGCCGCGUGGGUGAAGAAGGCCUUCGGUUUGUAAAGCACUUUCAGCGAGGAGGCGUUACUCGCAGAAGAAGCAACGACUAACUCCGUGCCAGCAGCCGCGGUAAUAC
rnacentral:rRNA from 1 species